UACGUAGGGGGCAAGCGUUGUCCGGAAUUGCUGGGCGUAAAGGGCGCGUAGGCGGCCUUCUAAGUCAGACGUGAAAUCCCCCGGCUUAACCUGGGAACUGCGUCUGAUACUGGGAGGCUUGAGUAUGGGAGAGGGAUGUAGAAUUCCAGGUGUAGCGGUGAAAUGCGUAGAUAUCUGGAGGAAUACCGGUGGCGAAGGCGGCAUCCUGGACCAUAACUGACGCUGAGGCGCGAAAGCUAGGGGAGCAAACGGG
rnacentral:rRNA from 1 species